rnacentral:rRNA from 1 species
UAGCGAACAAGUACCGUGAGGGAAAGGUGAAAAGCACCCCGAUGAGGGGAGUGAAAGAGACCUGAAACCGAACACCUACAAGCAGUCGGAGCCUCCUUGCGGGGUGACGGCGUACCUUUUGUAUAAUGGGUCAACGACUUAGUGUGACGAGCAAGCUUAAGCCGAUAGGUGAAGGCGCAGCGAAAGCGAGUCUGAAUAGGGCGUUGAGUAUUUGGUCGUAGACCCGAAACCAGGUGAUCUACCCUUGGUCAGGUUGAAGUUCAGGUAACACUGAAUGGAGGACCGAACCGACUUACGUUGAAAAGUGAGCGGAUGAACUGAGGGUAGCGGAGAAAUUCCAAUCGAACCUGGAGAUAGCUGGUUCUCUCCGAAAUAGCUUUAGGGCUAGCCUCAAGUGAUGAUUAUUGGAGGUAGAGCACUGUUUGGACGAGGGGCC